CAGCAGCCGCGGGAAUACGAAGGGGGCUAGCGUUGCUCGGAAUGACUGGGCGUAAAGGGCGCGUAGGCGGCUUGUACAGUCAGAUGUGAAAUUCCUGGGCUCAACCUGGGGACUGCAUUUGAUACGUACGGGCUUGAGUGGAGAAGAGGGUUGUGGAAUUUCCAGUGUAGAGGUGAAAUUCGUAGAUAUUGGAAAGAACACCGGUGGCGAAGGCGGCAACCUGGUCUUUAACUGACGCUGAGGCGCGAAAGCGUGGGGAGCAAACAGGAUUAGAUACCCCCGUAGUCCCUGUCUCUUAUAA
rnacentral:rRNA from 1 species